rnacentral:rRNA from 1 species
CCUACGGGAGACAGCAGUAGGGAAUAUUGCUCAAUGGGGGAAACCCUGAAGCAGCAACGCCGCGUGGGUGAAGAAGUAUCUCGGUAUGUAAAGCUCUAUCAGCAGGGAAGAACAUGACGGUACCUGACUAAGACGCCCCGGCUAACUACGUUCCAGCAGCCGCGGUAAUACGUAGGGGGCAAGCGUGAGCCGGAUUUACUGGGUGUAAAGGGAGCGUAGACGGCGCUGCAAGUCCGGAGUGAAAGCCCAUGGCUUAACCAUGGUACUGCUCUUGAAACUGUGGAGCUUGAGUGCGGGAGGGGCAGGCGGAAUUCCUAGUGUAGCGGUGAAAUGCGUAGAUAUUAGGAGGAACACCGGCGGCGAAGGCGGCCUGCUGGACCGUAACUGACGUUGAGGCUCGAAAGCGUGGGGAGCAAACAGGAUUAGAGACCCUGGUAGUC